rnacentral:pre_miRNA from 1 species
CAUUGCUGCACUGUUGCAACAUUGCCAUAAUGGUGCAGCAACAUUAUAGCAAUGUUGCUGCACCAUUAUGGCAAUGUUGCAACAGUGCAGCAAUG